rnacentral:rRNA from 1 species
GAUGAACGCUGGCGGCGUGCCUAAUACAUGCAAGUCGAGCGAACGGACGAGAAGCUUGCUUCUCUGAUGUUAGCGGCGGACGGGUGAGUAACACGUGGAUAACCUACCUAUAAGACUGGGAUAACUUCGGGAAACCGGAGCUAAUACCGGAUGAUAUUUUGAACCGCAUGGUUCAAAAGUGAAAGACGGUCUUGCUGUCACUUAUAGAUGGAUCCGCGCUGCAUUAGCUAGUUGGUAAGGUAACGGCUUACCAAGGCAACGAUGCAUAGCCGACCUGAGAGGGUGAUCGGCCACACUGGAACUGAGACACGGUCCAGACUCCUACGGGAGGCAGCAGUAGGGAAUCUUCCGCAAUGGGCGAAAGCCUGACGGAGCAACGCCGCGUGAGUGAUGAAGGUCUUCGGAUCGUAAAACUCUGUUAGUAGGGAAGAACAUAUGUGUAAGUAACUGUGCACAUCUUGACGGUACCUAAUCAGAAAGCAACGGCUAACUACGUG